CAAGACAUUCAUCCCCCAAAACAAAGUUUUGCAUUUAUGUUUCUCUCACUGUAUUGCAAAUUUCAAGAUAGUUUUCAAUACAUUAAAUUUGUGGUACUUGUGUACCAAAUUAAUGACUCUUAAUAUAGUUUUGUGGAAAAAGGAAAAGAAAGAUAACCAGAUUGAUCUCUUUAUUUUACCAUGUAGUCUACAGACUCCAGAUGGAAAAAGACAGAGAAAGAAAUUCUAAAGGGGUAUUCAAGGAUCCAUCCUCCUCCACACUAAUUCAUAUUGGAAGGAAUUAACAUCCAACUUGAAUGAAGAAUUACAGACUUCCAGAACAGACCCUUAAAAAAAGAAGCCAGAUCUUCAGAAGACUUCCUUGAAAAUGAGAAUUUUUUGAGUGGAAGUGAAGAAUAUGGGAUGCAUACAAGCAGACAUCAGCAUUCCCUCCCUCUUGUUUGUAUCAGAGGUGAGCUUUUUGAGAAAGACUUAAUGGAGGAAGUUUGAGAGUGUCAGUUGUCAGAUCAAGAACUUAGC